AAAGGUGAUAUGGCUUCUGAUCUUUUUCACUCAGGUGGAUCAGGUCAGCGAAAGUUGAAUGUUGUUGCACCAGAAGCGAAAGGAUACACAGGAUCCUACCUCAUUAAAACAUUGGAUUUUAUGGAUUCAUCUUUGGCAGUGACGGAUGUCAAGAUGUGAAGGUACACUAAACAUGGAUUUGAAUAUUCCAGAGCAAAAGCAAGACAAGCAGAAGAGGUGGUCUUGCUCUUGUAGAUCGAGACAGCAGACACUACAGCAUUGCUUGACAUCUCUGAAAGACUGGUAGCAUGUGGAUACACUGGACCGCUAACAUCUGACAGAAAGGAGGACAUUGUCAGUGCUGUUGUCCUCUGUAUGAAUCCUUCCAAUGCUGCCGCAGAUGUGCAAAGGAUUGGAACUCCAUGGCCUUCAUGAAAUUAUGAAAAAAGCCGUUAUUUGUUCCUGGACAUUUUGAAAAACAGCCCGAUGCAGAUUUCCUCACAAUGGCCCUCUCACCCAUUUUAAGUGAGAUGGGUUCAGUGAAGCAGAGGGAAUCACAAAUUAUUUAACCAUUUAUGAGACUUCAUUCAGAGCCUUGAAGAUGAAGAAGAAGGAAGCACUAGUGCAGAGCACAGAGGUGAGGAUGACAACGAACGAACAUCUAAAUCAGAGGACUGCACCCACGGAGAUGAACAACAAGACAAGAAUACUGUCAGCAGCUUCAUGCAGUGGCUGACUGGUCAGGGACACGUGCCCAUUACAUCCACACAGAGAGAAACAUUCAACAUACGUGUAGAAUUUGAUCACGACUGUCAGUUGCAAUAUGGUCAACACAGUUUGUGCCGCCCUCUCGUUAAUGCAUGCUCCUGUACCAUCACCUUAGGGACCUACAAAGAGUUUCUUUGCUUUAUGCGACAGGCUGUGAUCAAAAGUAAAGAAUUUGGUCGUUCAUGAGAUGAAUUCUCAGUGUAGUGUUUACUUCAUAUGCUGUUUACGCUGUUAUACUCUUAUCAGUUUGUAAAAAAACAGUUUUCAGAUGUUCAGCUGUAGUUUAUUUCUUUAUAAUCGUUUAGUUCAUUACGGGCAUGUAUUGAUUGCUGGCAGAUUGUUACAAAUUCAAUUCAGAAAUGAAGAGAAAGGUAUAUUUAUUUACAGUCAACUUAAAUGAGUGUUGAAGUCAAAAAACAAUGCAAUUAAAACAGCUGAGAUGAUUUAUUAUUAUUAAAUGUAAAAUACUUUGUUACUUCGGUGACAUUAAAAAGCUACCUACAGAUGUACUGGUCAAAAAAGUCACAAACUAUAUUAUAAACAAUAUUUUAUUGCACCACUUUUAGGUUUGAUUAUGGUGUGUUUUUGUCAUAGCUUUGUUUUCACAACUAUAAGUAACCAAACUGUAACACUAAAAUAUCAGUGAGGUUACAAUGCAAUGUCACAAACUUUAUUUCCAUCAUGAGUAAAAUUACUCCAGACUUGCAGUGAGCUUCAGGUAAAUAGGUGGUAAAUUCAUGUGUGAAAAUUAAGCCUUCCAAAACUUGUUCCUGAUUAACCUUACAUUUCCAUCCUAGAAUAUGACCAUGGGAUACAUCUUUCAACAUGGUGGUGUCCAAAUAACUGUUGCCAAACAUAUAAAAAGCCAGAAAAAUACUAAUACUUUAUACUAUAAUACUAUAAGGCUUAUAAUAAUUUUAGGGGUAUAAAUCAAUAUAUAAAAACAUGUCAAUAGAUUGUGAUUUUUUUGGCUUGUGAUUUAGAAAAUCAAAUCUUUUUGUAAUUUUGACAAAACAUAUAUCGUUGGAAAUGUCUGAGAGUCAAGGUUCCAUAUUUGGUGACUGUUUUGCAAUAGAAGUGAUAUUGUGACAGAAACCUGCUUAAGGGUGUUGUGUUUGGUUAUUUUUGGUAUAGUGCCCUUUCAAAAUUUGCUGCAACUUCUCCUGUGUGUGGCUAGUGCAGAGAGGAGUUUUUCAAAUCUGAAGCUCAUUAAACAUACCUGAGGUCUACAAUGACACAGCACCUGCUCAAUGGCCUGGCCAUGAUGAGCAUAAACAGGCACGUUUCCAGGCAGCUGUCCUAUGAUGACAUUAAUGACAAUUUUGCAGCAAUUAAGUCUAGGUGUGUCCAGUUUUAAAGCUAUUGGACAGGUGAGGUUACUCACUUUCAUAUCAUCAAUUUAAAAUUGAUAGGCAAGCUAAUAUCUGUGAGUAAUGCAUAGUUGAUAAUAGUAAAUUCUUACUGCUAAAUUCU